rnacentral:lncRNA from 1 species
CUUCAUUAAAGGAAAGAGCUACUGUUAAAACAGUUGAGAUGGAAGAGCAUGAUGCAGCACUGAGAAGCUCAGCCUUAACACAUUGGUUUCAUUUUGAUGCUUCCUGCUUUCAGUAUGAACUCUGGUGGAUACUACAGUUUCUACAAGUCUUCCUUGGCAGCAUGAAUUAUGCAGUCAGUGUGGAGUAAUACAGUUCAUCAUUUCAAAAGGAAACUUUCAGACUACCAGUGGUAUCUCGGGUAAUUGCAACAAGGAAGAACGCUACAGUUCUGGAGAUGAAACCACUGCUCUCAGCAGGAGUGGGAUCUCAGCUACAAGGUGAAAGCCUUCCCAGAAACUUCUCUGCUCCCACAUGGAGAAGACAACAAUGGAAGUUUCUAACAUCCAGGAAGAGAAAAAGGAUUAGAAGAACAAGUAUCUGAGAACUAUGGAAGACUCUUCAAACAGAACUGCAAAAGGAACCUUACCAAAAAUAAAGAAAAAAUCCUUUUUUUGCCUCAUUUCCCAACCAGUUUUACAGACUCAGUAAAUUCAGAAGCUUUGGAAACAUUUCAGCUACUCUUCCUAAAUGUCAAGGUACUUAUCCUUUUUUUUUGGUUUGUUCAUAUUAAAUGCGAAACAGACAUUUCCUCCAUCUCCAUUUAUAAAUCUAUAAUCACUCUUAUGUUACUUGUUAAUACAGUAACCACUUUUUUAUUGUACCAGGACUAAGAGAGUAGUCUGUGUCUAAGUAGACUUAAGUAUUACUAUUCCAAAAGUACAAUUUAGGUCACUUAGAAUAUUCCAAAAGCAUCCAGUAUUUAUUUACGCUUAAGGAACAACAGUGGUCAAAAUAUUUUAGAAUCCAUAAGCAGCAGGAAUAUGGAAAAUAUUAUUGUGUAUUUAUAUAAAUCAAUGAUACGGAUUCAAAUUAAUACUGGAUUCAGUGUUGGGAACUUUGGCUUUCAAUAAGGAAAAUAAGAAGGAAAAUAAAAACUG